rnacentral:tRNA from 1 species
AUUAUAUUGAUGUAAAUUAUUAUGCAUAUAAACUUUUCGUGUUUAAUGAAGCGCUAAAUCGCUAUAUAAUA